AGGGCUACCCGAAGCGCAUAGAGGCUGCUGGUGUCAACGUGACGUCUUCUGGGGCGCCUGGCAUCCCUAGGAGUGGAAGCCGCUGAUGAAGUCAAAGCUGCCUCCUCCUUCAGGAAGACUUUGCUCCCAUAGCUGGCGAACAGGAAGCGGAGCAGCGCCAGGAGGAUCUGCGGGCGCUGCUGAGGGCUUCUUUGCAGGGACAGUGCAGCAGGCAGCCAGGGACAAGACUGCACGGCAGCCCCCCAUGGCCAGGGGAAGCUCAGAACCGGAGUCGCCCGCUGCCCGGCGAUUCUCCAUCCCUGGAUCGGCCCCUGGACCUUGGCUCACCACCUAAGACUGAACAAGCACUAAAGGACAGACCAGCCCGCUAACAGCUCACUCCAAAAAUGAGCGGGACUCCCAGAGAAACUAUUUUUAUUGGAGCAUCCUGGUUUUGCCACCUGCUCACCCCACUGCCUGUCCUUCUCUCCAAGGAGGCUUCUGCCAGCCCUGCUUGUCCUUCCCUAGAAAAGGAAAGCCUUUUCCUGUUUGAUCCUGAGACACCUGUAGAUUGAGUUUGGAAUAUUCUCCCUAUUGCAAUAGUAUUUUUGAAUAAGUUUUAUUUUUCCCUACCUCUGGUUGAUUUUUAAUUAAUACCAGCAAGCUUGGAUGAAAGCCUGCACACCUUAGGGGUGUGUGUGUGUGUGUGUGUGUGUGUGUGUAUGUAUGUAUGUACUUUAGCAUUACCAUGAAAGUAAUAACAGUAAAAUCAAACAAACACAGAUGGAUAAGCAAUAUGUUGGACUAGUAUGAAAAUGGCAUUGCCAGCAGUGACAUGAUUUUUUUUCAAAAUGGUACACUUUUUGAAGUAUAAUCUUAUUUUAACCUAAAAUCUUACUAUCAGAAAAUGCAGUGUACAUUAAAAUGUUCUGAACUGCUUUUAUUCAUAUAUUAAAUGGUUGUACUCAAAUAUCUACAAAUUUGUUUUUCACUUAUGUGAUUGUCUUAUAGAAUGUCCAAAAGUCUUGCAGAAUGUGAGACAAUUUUCUAUUGAAUAUGAUUGCUUUAUCAUUGCAAGACAUCAAACAUCCCUGUUUCCUGCCAAAUAAAUGUACAAUAGCAAUAAAUGUAAAGAUGUGUUUUGUAAAAAAGAUAUAUUUUUGAGUUACAAAACAAGGAUUUUAAAACUUGAAUUGUUACAGUGAAUAUGUCUUAAUACAGGCCAGAGUCAUUUAGGUAAAAAAUUACCUCAUAUCUAUUCUUUGCAGUAUCACUUAAAGGUGUUUAUUUAGCGGCAAAGAUUUUUUUUUUGUGCCUAGAGGCAGAUAUUUUGCCCCAUGGCUAUUUACGGUAUGAAACUGUAUUUAAAUGAGUGUACAUAUAUAAAAGCUGCCAUUCUGGCUGUAAACUAUUGCAGGUUAUCAAGAUUAAAAAAUAAACAAAUAAAAAUA
rnacentral:lncRNA from 1 species